rnacentral:rRNA from 1 species
GAUGAACGCUAGCUACAGGCUUAACACAUGCAAGUCGAGGGGUAACGAGAGGAAAGCUUGCUUUCCUUGUCGACGACCGGCGCACGGGUGAGUAACGCGUAUCCAACCUGCCCCCAACUAGGGAAUAACCUUGCGAAAGUAAGACUAAUACCCUAUAAUUUCCUCAGAUGUCAUCUGACGAGGAAUAAAGAUUUAUCGGUUGUGGAUGGGGAUGCGUCUGAUUAGCUUGUUGGCGGGGUAACGGCCCACCAAGGCAACGAUCAGUAGGGGUUCUGAGAGGAAGGUCCCCCACAUUGAAACUGAGACACGGUCCAAACUCCUACGGGAGGCAGCAGUGAGGAAUAUUGGUCAAUGGGCGGAAGCCUGAACCAGCCAAGUAGCGUGCAGGAUGACGGCCCUAUGGGUUGUAAACUGCUUUUAUACAAGAAUAAAGUUAGCCACGUGUGGUUAUUUGUAGGUACUGUAUGAAUAAGGACCGGCUAACUCCGUGCCAGCAGCCGCGGUAA